CGGGGCGGCCUCCCUUCCGCCCACGCUCCAGGGCUUCCCCGGCUCCCGAGCUCCGAGCUUCCACCACAUCGGCCGGCUCAGGACAGGGCUUCCACUGUAAAGUCGGCUGCCAGACGUGUUGGAGCUCACCGAACCCAGAGUUGAUCUCUGCAGCAUGCCAUCACUGCUGGGGAUGAGGAAACGGUGAUUUCAGGACUGUUUUUUCUGUCUCUUCAGUGCCUCUUUCAGUGAUCUGAGGUUAAAACCAGACUAUGGAGGAUUCAUCAACAGACCAGGAAGCAACAGCCUGGGCUCCAGAAUUGACCAGUAGUCCGUGCACAGACGAGGAGAGGUCCCAUGAAACUUCGGCGCAGUCUGGGAACCGAGCUCUUUUUGUAACAAGUUGUUUGUCAGGAGGCCCGGUCAUGAAAGCCCUUCCUGACUGGGCUCAAGGAAUACAAAAAGGACAACUUGUUUUUGCCAUUGUCUGUUGUUUUUCAAUAACUAGUUCUCCGAAACAGCACUGGAUGAAUGCCUCAAGGGGCUCACACAACUCGUUCCAGGACUUAGUGACCAUUGUUUCUGUCCCUGUUCAAUAGAGUUCAAAUUUAAUAUUUAAAUUUUGCUCCACAAUGUGCCAUAUUAUCUGUAUCCAACCUGUCAUUGGGCAUUUAGGUUGAUUCCAUGUCUUUACUAUUGUGAAUAAUGCUGCAAUAAACAUUUACGUGCUUGUGUCU
rnacentral:lncRNA from 1 species